ACGAAGAAAUGGAAAGUGAGGAUUAGAGAAGAGGAAGAAACUGACUUGCGUAAGAGUUAGGGUUUCUUUGAGCGAGAAGGAGAUUUGAGAUGAUGAUCCUUGAACGGAAGUGAGGAAGCGAAGCAGAUCUAUCGGAAGAAGAACCGACAAAGGAAGAAGAAGACGAGAAGAGCGAUUGAUAAAUAGGUAAAUUGCGCACAGUAGCCGUUGACCCACUUUUCAUUUCAGAUUUUGACACUGUGGGUUGGGCCUUUCAUUUCUUAGCCAUUCAGCCAAAAACUGACCAAAAUGCCCUUGACGAAACUGAACCCGGUUUGUACGUACGGACCGCGUCGUUGGAAUCCAAGAGAACCGGGUUCGUACGUACACUGUUCAUCGACGAGAAAUGCAUUAAAUGAUUUCUGGGUUUCGGCGAAUUUGACACUUGAGAUUGAAAUUAAAAAAAUUUUAAAAUUGGUUGGGCUCAAAAGUUUUUAAUGCUAAAAAGUUUUGACAAGACUAAAACUCAUGAUUACCUAUUAUAAUAAAGAUUAUAUUGUAAGAUAUUUACAUUAUUGAGAUUAGAAUUUUUGGAAAAAAACGAAAUUCGAAAUUGUGUUACGGUGAAGAAUCUGAAGUUUUCAGUUGCUGUUUUACAAAGUUUGAAGGAUUGAAGGGGAGACAAUUUGUGUUCUAGGUAAGAAAUUCAUGUUAAUUACACUUGAGAACGUGAUAUGAAAGUAAUGAUACGUUUUUAAAAAUUUAUGGGUUCAUAAAUUGUUUUGUUGGAGACUCUUUUUGUAUUUGUAGAUAUAAAUGAAAGCUCUAUGAUCUGUUUUGUUAAAUUUAUAAGUACAUAAAUUGUUUUGUUACAGAUUCUUUUUGUUUUCUUUGACAUAAAUGAAAACCUUCAAAAAGAUCUGAUUUUUUUGUAUUUAAUGUUGUUCUGACCUGAAUAAUUUAUGUUGCAGGUAUGGAGUUACCUGUAUUAAUUAUGGUUGGUGAGUGGAUAUACAAAGAAGAAGGUUGAAAAUUUGAAGCUGAAAAAGGAAGUUUCGGUCGCUGUGUAUGUAUUACAGACACAACGGCGUACACGGAUUUGGCAAGUACAAUAUGUGAUGUUUCCAGCUAUAAGUUUAGUGAAUGGAACCCUAUAAUAAGUUACUGGAUGCCCGGAAAGAUGUCUGAUAUGAUAGCAAGUAAUCGCCCUCCAGUAUAUAUUGAGAAUCAAAUCAGCCUGGAUACAUUUAUGUUGAUUCGUAAUGGCGAUUCUUCUGUUAACUUGUUUGUGUCUUUUUACCCUAUCGGCAAGGGAGGCCAUACAAAGACAGAGGUUACAAAUGUUGAUGCAGCUCAUAAUUUUUACGAAGAUAUAAAUGUAGAUGAGGAGGAUGACAUAGAUGAAGGUGAUGAGGAUGAAUAUGAGGACGAGGAUAAUGAAGAGCACGAAGAUAUGGAUGUACAUGACGAUGACACCGAUGGUGAAAGCCGUGGAAAUACCCUCGACCCUAUAGUAGACGGUAGUGAAGGUAGUGGCGAAGAUUACGAUUACAAUAAAUGGGGUGACAUGAUUGUGGAACAAUAUGGAAAUGGUCAUGUCGAGGAUGGCGUCGUGAAUGACACUCAACAAACCGUGGAACCU
rnacentral:sRNA from 1 species